rnacentral:tRNA from 1 species
UCUAUUAUGGCAGAUUAGUGCAUUGGAUUUAAACCCCAAAUAUAAAAUUUUUUUUUGAUAGAA